rnacentral:tRNA from 1 species
AGCAGUGUGGCUUAGUGAAAAGAGCGCGGGCUUGGGAGAACGAAGAUGUGGGUUCUAAUCCUGCCUCUGCCA